CCCUUGGUCUCUGAAGAUGCAAAUUUAUAGGGGCACUGUCCUAAAUCUACUAUAAUUGUCAAUCAUGCAAAGAUGCAAACUGAAAAAUAUCAAGUAGAGAAUAACAAAACUGGAAAAAUUUCAACAAAAAGAAAAGGAAGGAAGGAAUGGAGGGAAGGAGUGAGAGAGGACAGAAGGAAAAGAGAAAAGAAAGAAGGAAAAAAAGAAGGAAGAGUAAGAAGAAAGAAAACUAUCAGACAGAAGGAGGGUGGACUUGCUGAAUUUCCCCGACAAAGACCUGAAUGUUGUUGUUCAGAAAGUUUCAUGG
rnacentral:lncRNA from 1 species